rnacentral:tRNA from 4 species
GGGGAUGUGGCGGAACUGGCAGACGCGCUAGCUUCAGGAGCUAGUAGUAGCAAUACUGUGAGAGUUCGAAUCUCUCCAUCCCCA